rnacentral:lncRNA from 1 species
GGAGCAUUGUGGGGGUCGUGGUCCAGUCGCCGCGCCGACUACAAGGCCCGUAGUUCCCCACGCCCUCCCGCCCCCGCCGGUGAUUGGCCGGCGUGUCCGCCGUCGCGGAGCCGGAAACUGGUGUUUUCAGCUGCCAGCCCCCGGGCGUGGGAGGCGGGGGUCGGUGCUUAGGUGGGUCGCUGGGUGGGCAGGGGAUGGGUGGAGCGGCCCACCGGUAUAUACCAGAGGUGGAGCGCCCGGAGCGUCGGGAGAACCGCGGGACGGGUGGCGCUGGCCCCUAGAGAACACAGGCCCUGUGAGAGCAGGACCUUCAUCAUCUUGCUGACUGCUGCGUGCCCAUACCUAGCACAGUGCCUGGCUCAUGAAGGCAAGGACAGGGCCAGACCCACAGAGGAGCCCACUUAGGGGACACAUCUCUUGCCAAACAGAACAAGUCUGGAGAGGGCUUGGGUGCACAGCCAAAGGAGCCAGGUGGAGGGUAUGAUGUAAGCAGGUGAUGGCUACAGCUAGGUGAACUGGGCUUUGGGAACUGCCUGAGAGCCACUUCAGGCAGAACUUACUUUAAACACAAAACUUGCUUCAAAUGCAGAAGACAGCGUCUUCAGGGAAACACUAAUGACCUAGGAGUCCUAUAAUUAUGCUUUCUUAUCUGUGUUACUUUGCCCACAUUGGCCAACCACUUAGCUAAAAAUGAUGGCAUGGAAGGAAAGGGGAAGACAGGGCAACCCACAGAUGCUUUUUUAAAAGUUUUCCCUCACUCACUAGAAAGAUGAAGGUGUUGACAGAAAGUGAGUAUAUCAAGAAGUGAAAUAAAAACAGUUGGCCCAGCUUCAUGCAGCAUUUCCUCUGCCCAAGUAAGAAUGGAAUCUCUAUACAUGUAUGAGCAAUGAAUUGUGCAGUUUCAGUGUUUCUACAUAUAAGCUGAAUGUUCUUAUGUUUGCAUUUAAAA